UACGUAGGGGGCAAGCGUUGUCCGGAUUUACUGGGCGUAAAGCGCGUGUAGGCGGCAGGCCAAGUCUGCGGUGAAAGCGCCCGGCUCAACUGGGCGAGGUCCGUGGAAACUGGUCAGCUGGAGGACGGUAGAGGCGAGUGGAAUUCCCGGUGUAGUGGUGAAAUGCGUAGAGAUCGGGAGGAACACCUGUGGCGAAGGCGGCUCGCUGGGCCGGUCCUGACGCUGAGACGCGAAGGCGUGGGAGCGAACGGG
rnacentral:rRNA from 1 species